rnacentral:misc_RNA from 1 species
AAAAAAAACUCAUAAUUCGGAGACAAUCCAUUUUAAAAUUCAACUGAAUACAAUUUGAAUUCAUGCCAAGGAAAAUGAACUUCCCCGACAUAAUAGGGGUAUCAAAUGUGAGUAGGCUAUGCAGCAAUCAACACCAGUGCCACCCAAACUAAACAAACAGCAAGGAUAAUAUUUUAUAUACAAUACACAAUAAAUUAAGAGUUCUAUACAGAUUUACCUAAAAAGCAGGAUGGUACCGGAGAUUCACAUUAGCAUCCACCCUCUGCACUACUCUCCUGAAACUCCACUCAUGGCAGAAUUCCAAGGCUAGCCUAAGGGCAGUUCCAAGUCCAAGCACAACAAUAACACCAAAUAUAAUGUUAACAGGCAGGGCAGAAACACCAAGUGUAAUGGAUAUCAGAACAUCCAACAAGAGACCACCAAUAAGAAUUGAGAAUGCCACCCAAAGUGGACUAAAACAACCUCUUUCAGGAUCUCGUGGUCUAAAGGUUGGGUCAAUCCUCCAAACCCAGUAGUUUGCCUGUCCCAUGAAACACAAGAAAUAUAAAUCAGAUGAUUAAUAGCACGUCUAAAAUCUAAACCUAAACUCAAAAGAACAAAACUCAUUGCUUCUUUGGUUUGUCAUAAUUCAUGACAAACGAAUAAUGCUUGUGCAUUAGCAGAAGCCAGAAGGGACAAUGGGCUCAUGGACUGAGCCAAUUCUAUAAACAAUAGCUUCCCCAUACACUAUAAUUCCCUUUUCCAGUUUCUUCAAAACAUUCCACUUAGUUUAACACUCAGCACUUUUGUUAUUUUGGAAAAUGAAGUUCUAUAUCAAUAGCAGCAUUGGGACUUUGCAAGCAAAGUUUUAGGCCAUCUAAGGUAGAUUCACAGAGAUUAUAUGAACAAGCAUCACAUCCCAAUACAUUCAUCAAAUUUAGAGUAUAUUAAAACGGUAGAGGCCAUCCAUAGACAUUUAUCAUACUCUAUGGGACACUCCAACAGAGAGUACCUACACUUGGCUGAGAUUCUGGAGGUGACACAUUUACAGCUAUCUCUUGGCAUAUCUCACAUUUGUUUGAUCCUCUCGUAUGAAACCAAGUGUCUAUGCAUGAGCGGUGGGCUUUUGCAAGACCACCUUUACAUUUGCAUCCAAGAUCUAUGAGAACUUCUUCCCUCUCCUGCUGACAAACUCUGCACUGUUCAUGAGAGCUCGCAGUCCUCGACAAGUAUCCCUUUUUGGGAGAAUCCACGCUGGGCAAUUCCUCCUUAGAAGGGUCCACAUGAGAAUCAGCAUUAGAAACUAUGAUGGUGAGAAUUGUGGGAUUGGGCUCAAGGGUAGAACUCUCCGAUACGGCACCGUUGCUGCCCUGUUGCGGCAACAAUUGGGGGUUGUCCUGCUUCUCAAGGUCGAGCUCAGGUGAGAGUAAAUUACCACACUGGUUACUACCAGUUGUGGUGCUUGCUUUAUUGGAGCCAUCAUUCUGCAUCUGAUCCGAUUGAUCGCAAGCCUAGGAAAGAAGAGUUCGUUUAGUAAAAAAAAAGACCUAGAAAUUACCUUAUCUCUGAAAACGUAAUUAUGUCUAAAGGCAUCGAAUUUUUCCAAAUACAAGGGUGUAUAAGAAAAGGAUUCACUUGUUGAAUCUGAAUGAGCCAUCAAACAGGAACAAAAAGUGACGAGCAAUUCAAAAACUCAUUAAAAAAGGGAAAACAAUGAAAAUUGCAUAGCAGAGCCAGGCGUAACAAGAGAACAGUUGGAAUGGUUCCUGCAUUGCCCAAGGGAAAAAGAGAAGGUGAAAUGAAAGUCCGUACCUAGAUAGUGGAGAUUGGUUUUGGCUUGCAAAGUUUAGAUGAAUUAUUACUUGGCACUAAUUAAUUUGAAAAUCAAACAUAGGGAUCACGGAAAUGGAAAAGGGAAACGGAAGAGAGAAAAUCUGAAAAGGAGAGUCCACCGCCCGGG